rnacentral:rRNA from 1 species
AUUGAACGCUGGCGGCAUGCUUUACACAUGCAAGUCGAACGGCAGCGCGGGCUUUGGCCUGGCGGCGAGUGGCGAACGGGUGAUUAAUACAUCGGAACGUGCCCAGUAGUGGGGGAUAGCUCGCCGAAAGCCGGAUUAAUACCCCUUACGCCCUGAGGUUGAAAGCGGGGGAUCUUCGGACCUCGCGCUAUUGGAGCGGCCGAUGGCAGAUUAGCUAGUUGGUGGGGUAAAGGCCUACCAAGGCGACGAUCUGUAGCUGGUCUGAGAGGACGACCAGCCACACUGGGACUGAGACACGGCCCAGACUCCUACGGGAGGCAGCAGUGGGGAAUUUUGGACAAUGGGCGAAAGCCUGAUCCAGCAAUGCCGCGUGUGUGAUGAAGGCCUUCGGGUUGUAAAGCACUUUUGGCGGGAACGAAAAGGACUGUGCCAAUACCACGGUUCGAUGACGGUACCCGCAGAAUAAGCACCGGCUAACUACGUG